UACGUAGGGUGCGAGCGUUGUCCGGAAUUAUUGGGCGUAAAGAGCUCGUAGGCGGUCCGUCGCGUCGAAUGUGAAAACCCGGGGCUCAACUCCGGGCCUGCAUUCGAUACGGGCGGACUAGAGUUCGGUAGGGGAGACUGGAAUUCCUGGUGUAGCGGUGAAAUGCGCAGAUAUCAGGAGGAACACCGGUGGCGAAGGCGGGUCUCUGGGCCGAUACUGACGCUGAGGAGCGAAAGCGUGGGGAGCGAACAGG
rnacentral:rRNA from 1 species